rnacentral:rRNA from 1 species
UACCAGCACUCCGAGUGGUCGGGACGUUUAUUGGGCCUAAAGCAUCCGUAGCCGGUUCUACAAGUCUUCCGUUAAAUCCACCUGCUUAACAGAUGGGCUGCGGAAGAUACUAUAGAGCUAGGAGGCGGGAGAGGCAAGCGGUACUCGAUGGGUAGGGGUAAAAUCCGUUGAUCCAUUGAAGACCACCAGUGGCGAAGGCGGCUUGCCAGAACGCGCUCGACGGUGAGGGAUGAAAGCUGGGGGAGCAAACCGG